rnacentral:rRNA from 1 species
AUUGAACGCUGGCGGCAGGCCUAACACAUGCAAUUCGAGCGGAUGAAGGGAGCUUGCUCCUGGAUUCAGCGGCGGACGGGUGAGUAAUGCCUAGGAAUCUGCCUGGUAGUGGGGGAUAACGUCCGGAAACGGGCGCUAAUACCGCAUACGUCCUGAGGGUGCAAGUGGGGGAUCAUCGGACUUCACGCUCUCAGUUGAGCCUAGGUCGGAUUAGCUAGUUGGUGGGGUAAGGCCUACCAAGGCGACGAUCCGUAACUGGUCUGAGAGGAUGAUCAGUCACACUGGAACUGAGACACGGUCCAGACUCCUACGGGAGGCAGCAGUGGGGAAUAUUGGACAAUGGGCGAAAGCCUGAUCCAGCCAUGCCGCGUGUGUGAAGAAGGUCUUCGGAUUGUAAAGCACCUUAAGUUGGGAGGAAGGGCAGUAAGUUAAUACCUUGCUGUUUUGACGUUACCAACAGAAUAAGCACCGGCUAACUUCGUG